GUAAUUCCUCUUUACCUCUUGCAGAUGAGGAGAAAGCCAACCUUCUAAUCCAAAUCAAAACCAUAAACCAAACACUUGAUUCCCGUAUAUCGGAAGCUAUAAACCGUAUGAAGCAGGACAUCUUACAGACAAUACAAAAAGAGAGACCCCAGUGUGAUUCUGGCUGGAAACCAUUUGAUGGAAGCUGUUACUAUAUUGUUACCACUCAGAAGAACUGGAUAGAUGCCCAGAGCAAUUGUAAAUCAAUGAACAGCGACCUGGUUAUUAUUAACAGUGACAGGGAAAAGGUGAGGCACUUUGCAUGCAACACGACCAACUCCAUUCCCAUCAGAGAUUUCAUUACAUUAUAGUGGAAAUAUCCAAAUCCCUCCUCUAAAUU